rnacentral:rRNA from 1 species
AGUGAACGCUGGCGGUAGGCCUAACACAUGCAAGUCGAACGGCAGCACAGUAAGAGCUUGCUCUUACGGGUGGCGAGUGGCGGACGGGUGAGGAAUACAUCGGAAUCUACUUUUUCGUGGGGGAUAACGUAGGGAAACUUACGCUAAUACCGCAUACGACCUACGGGUGAAAGCAGGGGAUCUUCGGACCUUGCGCGAUUGAAUGAGCCGAUGUCGGAUUAGCUAGUUGGCGGGGUAAAGGCCCACCAAGGCGACGAUCCAUAGCUGGUCUGAGAGGAUGAUCAGCCACACUGGAACUGAGACACGGUCCAGACUCCUACGGGAGGCAGCAGUGGGGAAUAUUGGACAAUGGGCGCAAGCCUGAUCCAGCCAUACCGCGUGGGUGAAGAGGGCCUUCGGGUUGUAAAGCCCUUUUGUUGGGAAAGAAAAGCAGCAGGUUAAUACCCCGCUGUUCUGACGGUACCCAAAGAAUAAGCACCGGCUAACUUCGUG